rnacentral:lncRNA from 1 species
AAGAAUUACAAUAUAAGUACUAUAUAAUAUAAUUAGUCCAAAAAUGAAAUGAUUAUUGGAAUUUGGGAGGAACUAUUGAAGCUAAUUCGAGAACAAACCUUUUGCACAUAGAACCUGAUUUUAUGAUUAUACUUAUAAAAGAGCAAACUGCGCAAGGAAUGAACAACAAAAUCAAUUAGUAACUCAAAUGGAUGCAGGCAAAGUUUGUCUAUAGCUUCAACAGAAUAAAGAGAAUUUCACAUUGUUUCUUUCAUGUUCAGCUAGCUACGGAGACAUGUAAUUGCAAUGCUACAUCACAUCUCUGCAUAUACAAUAAAAAAACUUUAGCUAAUUCAUUGAUUGAAAAAUACACGAAACAAAUUAACUCAAAACAAUGGCCUUCACUGCUUCAUCUUUGGUGCUAAUUUAGAUUUAGCAUGCAAGGAAUAAGAAAAAAAUCUAAAAAAUAAAAAUAUCAUAGCACUUUGUCUAACUGAACAAAAUGUAUUUAGAGGUGUCAAAAUUGUCAAUAGGUUAUGGUUCGUGAUAGUGAAGUUUGUGUCAAUAUGUUGUAUAUCUGAACCAAAGCCAUAAUGUAUUAUAAUUAAAUUCCUACCUUAAUAUUGUUGGUGUCUCUAAUAGAAAGUAGUAUUUUUUUUUUCAUGUCUCGAAAUAUAUAUGCACAACUUUUAAUCAAUCUUUCUCCCUAACAUUGGCAAGUGAAUAAUAGUUCAAAGAAAGAAACUAAAGUCACUAGAGUCUUCUAUUUGUGUCAAAGAAAAAUAAAACAUUGAUGGGAAUUCCUUCAUGAGCAUUGAUAUCAGUGUUACUUUACAACUACAGAAGGACCAAUAAUAAAAAUUAGCAUUUAUUACUAUAUAUAGUACAAAAAUCUACUACUGUUAUAGAAUUUUAGAGUUUCAAUGCAUUACAACAGUGUAAUUUACAACAGUCCAUCGGUAUACACACACUAACCUCUAGAAACCAUAUUUGACCAUCUGAUUUAGAACCCUUCUUAAGAACAAGUAUCCGGGGGUUUUGAAAAGAACGACUGAGUGACCUUUGCAUGACAAGGAAUCGGCGCCUAACACAUUUGGGCGAACCCUGCAAUACAAAAUGGAUAUCGGAAGCAAAAGACUUACAAAAGCAGCUAUGAAGCUAAGAAACUUCAAACUGACCCAUUCUCCGAUACUACAGUAAAAAUUUGUACUAUAAUGGACAUAGUUCCAUCAUCAGCUCCAACAGUGACAUACUGUCAAACAAAUGGAGGCACAAUUUUUGUUUUAGGCAUCAAUUGGUAUCAGAACCACUGAAAUUCAAUUCAACCUAACACGAAGUCACAAACACCUGAAAAUGAACAACCAUCUCAUAAGUCACUCUUUGAAUUGGAUUUAAAAUGAAUAUGUACUAUAAAAAUAAUUUGAAAAAUUGGGAAUAAGACAAACAAAUGAAAGUGACUAAAAAGAGAAGAUGAUGUAAUCAAAGAAAUAAAUGAAAUGACUUCACAUAUUUUCUGUUUAGUGCCCAGCAAGAGGACUGCAACUUAUAAUUCCUCCUGUUUUCUUCUGAUUAACUCUGCCACUUUUCUCCAGUACUGGCUCUUCUCUAUAGCUGCCAUUUCCUUCUAUUACCUAAAUGUUUCCAAAGCAACUAUUAUAUACCUUAUACAUAAAAUAGUACAGCAGGUUUCACUCUGCUAAUACCAGUCAUAAACAAGAAGGGUCAUUCAAUUUCAAAGUAAAUUUAACUAAUGAUAUAAUGAUUAAGGGAUUUAUAUGCCAAUGUUAUAGUGCUACGUUUGUGCAUUGUCAUCAUUGGGCAAACCUUUGUCAACCUUUAGAAGAAAGAGUUCCAACCAACAAAUUAAAAUUUAUAAGACAAUAAAUAGAGUUACUUUCAAACUAAUAAUUCUUAUAAUCAACCCAUAAAUCACAGAAGAACUACAUUGCUUCUUAGCCUAGCAAGAAACAAAUAAGCAAAAAAAAUCACAGAAACAGGCCCAAACAACUCAAGUGCUAAACAACCCCUCUAAAAACCAGAAGACCCCUGCCUAAACCCAGCCAGAGUGCUGUAGCAGAACAAAAAAUAGAAGAAAAUGCCGCAGCAAAAAAACAAUACCCAACAUGACAGAAUCAAUGUACACAUGCCUCUAUACAUGUUCAAUCAAUUAGCUUGGAUUAGUCACAGAGCAACCAUCUCUAAAGUCUAGCUAUAUAACAAGUCACAUGACAAAAUCAAUGUACAUGUUCAAUCAAUAGUUUUCAUAUCUAAAGUCUUGUUACUUUGUUUUCAUAUCUAAAGUGUUUUGUUCAAUCAAUAGUUAUAAAGAACAAAAUAUAAUAGAACCUGCUAUAGUAACCAUUGGAAUCUUUUCUUAAUAAAAAACACCUUCCUCUUCAAAUUGAACAUAUAUGGUGAUAUGUUUAUAUCAAUGAGGUAUUCCACAUAUAUGAGAGCAAUAAUUGUUCAAUUUGGAGAUUUGGCUCUGGAAAUCCAACACUUAUUAAAUUUCUAACUACAUUGAAGAAAAAGAAACAUAACAAGAAAACACAAAGUGGCUUAUGUAUGUGUGUGAAAAUUCCUUUGGAUUAUGAAAAGGAAAACCAAUGCUAUAUAUAUUUGUCUAUUCUUCUUUAUCAAUCAAACAUCAAAACUGCAGUUAAUUUAAGCCCUUCUUAACAAAUAAGUAGGACUAUGGAAUAAUAGGCAUAAAUGAGCAAGUCAUAAGUUCUUAAAAUAAGAAUAAAUAAGAGAAAAAUAGCCCUAAAGAGAAAAAUAGCAAGAACAUGAGGAAUACAUUAGAGAAGAAUCAAACCUGGUAGAAGAGAAGAAUCAAAUUUGACCAAAGAGAAGUAACGGCAAACAUUUAGAUGAGAGGAAGAACACAAUUGAUGUUUGCUCCAAUACAUCUAACACAUAGACAAAUGUGUACUCUAGUUGGAUUAAUUGGUUAACCAUGAGAACAUUAUAGAUGCAAUCAAGGGACUAGAGUCAUAUCAUGCAAUGAUCAACACAAACUCAUACUAUAGCACAUCAGCAGACUAUAGUUUGUCUGAGUAUUUAUGUCAAACACUUGGUGAGCAACAAAUAAAUGAUAAAAGUAUUGAGCAAUGAUAACAAUUUGUGGUCACAAACUAGAAACCCAGAAAAAACACAAAGCAGUAAGUACCAAACACAUAAUAGAGAAUAAGAAAACGCAUCAACUAUGGAUGAAACAGUCUUAAAAAAAAACUAUGGAUGUAACAAAAAGGAACUGCUAAAGAAAGGGAUCAAACAAAAAUAUAUAGACCUUGGUAACUACGACGACAUAUUAGAGAUUGAGCAACCAUGAUGACUACGGAUGAGCGCCAUGGAUUGUAGAUAAGUCAUUGCGGCUGGGUUCGAUGGAUUCUAGGGUAUUUGCGCUCGAUUGAUUUGUGGGUGAGUCAGAGUGAGGAGACUAUGCUUAUAAAAAAAAAAAGAGUGAGGAGACUAUGGG